GGAGAGGUGGCAGAGUGGUCUAUCGCGACGGUCUUGAAAACCGUAGGGGGUUAACGCCCUCCGGGGGUUCGAAUCCCUCCCUCUCCGCCA
rnacentral:tRNA from 1 species